rnacentral:tRNA from 1 species
GCAUUGAUAUUUCAGUGGUAGAAUUCUUGUCUCCCAUUCGGGAGAUGCAGGUUUGAUUCCUGGCCAAUGCA